rnacentral:rRNA from 1 species
CAAUAGCGUAUAUUAAAGUUGUUGCAGUUAAAAAGCUCGUAGUUGGAUUUCGGAAUGGGCCCGUCGGUCCGCCGCAAGGUGAGGCACUGACUGGUUUGUUCUUCUUCGCAAAGACUGCGUGUGCUCUUCGCUGAGUGUGCGUAGGAUUUACGACGUUUACUUUGAAAAAAUUAGAGUGUUCAAAGCAGGCUUUAGCUUGAAUACAUGAGCAUGGAAUAAUGGAAUAGGACUUUGGUUCUAUUUUGUUGGUUUCUAGGACCGAAGUAAUGAUUAAGAGGGACAAUUGGGGGCAUCCGUAUUUCGUUGUCAGAGGUGAAAUUCUUGGAUUUACGAAAGACGAACAACUGCGAAAGCACUUGCCAAGAGUGUUUUCAUUAA